rnacentral:rRNA from 1 species
UACGUAGGGUGCAAGCGUUAAUCGGAAUUACUGGGCGUAAAGCGUGCGCAGGCGGUUGUGCAAGACAGAUGUGAAAUCCCCGGGCUUAACCUGGGAAUUGCAUUUGUGACUGCACGGCUAGAGUGUGUCAGAGGGGGGUAGAAUUCCACGUGUAGCAGUGAAAUGCGUAGAUAUGUGGAGGAAUGACCGAUGGCGAAGGCAGCCCCCUGGGAUAACACUGACGCUCAUGGCACGAAAGCGUGGGGAGCAAACAGG